rnacentral:rRNA from 1 species
UCGGGAAUUUUGGGCAAUGGGCGAAAGCCUGACCCAGCAACGCCGCGUGAAGGAUGAAGUAUUUCGGUAUGUAAACUUCGAAAGAAUAGGAAGAAUUAAUGACGGUACUAUUUAUAAGGUCCGGCUAACUACGUGCCAGCAGCCGCGGUAAUACGUAGGGACCAAGCGUUGUUCGGAUUUACUGGGCGUAAAGGGCGCGUAGGCGGUGCGGUAAGUCACUUGUGAAAUCUCUGAGCUUAACUCAGAACGGCCAAGUGAUACUGCAGUACUAGAGUGCAGAAGGGGCAAUCAGAAUUCUUGGUGUAGCGGUGAAAUGCGUAGAUAUCAAGAGGAAUACCUGAGGUGAAGACGGGUUGCUAGGCUGACACUGACGCUGAGGCGCGAAAGCUAGGGGAGCAAACGGG